AGAGACCGGCGCACGGGUGCGUAACGCGUAUGCAAUCUACCUUUUACAGAGGGAUAGCCCAGAGAAAUUUGGAUUAAUACCUCAUAGUAUUAUGAAAUGGCAUCAUUUUAUAAUUAAAGUCACAACGGUAAAAGAUGAGCAUGCGUCCCAUUAGCUAGUUGGUAAGGUAACGGCUUACCAAGGCUACGAUGGGUAGGGGUCCUGAGAGGGAGAUCCCCCACACUGGUACUGAGACACGGACCAGACUCCUACGGGAGGCAGCAGUGAGGAAUAUUGGACAAUGGGCGCAAGCCUGAUCCAGCCAUGCCGCGUGCAGGAUGACGGUCCUAUGGAUUGUAAACUGCUUUUAUACGAGAAGAAACACUCCUUCGUGAAGGAGCUUGACGGUAUCGUAAGAAUAAGGAUCGGCUAACUCCGUGCCAGCAGCCGCGGUAAUACGGAGGAUCCAAGCGUUAUCCGGAAUCAUUGGGUUUAAAGGGUCCGUAGGCGGUUUAGUAAGUCAGUGGUGAAAGCCCAUCGCUCAACGGUGGAACGGCCAUUGAUACUGCUGAACUUGAAUUAUUAGGAAGUAACUAGAAUAUGUAGUGUAGCGGUGAAAUGCUUAGAGAUUACAUGGAAUACCAAUUGCGAAGGCAGGUUACUACUAAUGGAUUGACGCUGAUGGACGAAAGCGUGGGUAGCGAACAGGAUUAGAUACCCUGGUAGUCCACGCCGUAAACGAUGGAUACUAGCUGUUGGGAGCAAUCUCAGUGGCUA
rnacentral:rRNA from 1 species